rnacentral:rRNA from 1 species
UACGAAGGGGAGGCUAGCGUUGCUCGGAAUCACUGGGCGUAAAGCGCACGUAGGCGGAUUGUUAAGUCAGGGGUGAAUCCCGGGCUCAACCCGGAACUGCCUUUGAUACUGGCAUUCUCGAGUCCGGAAGAGGUGAGUGGAAUUCCGAGUGUAGAGGUGAAAUUCGUAGAUAUUCGGAGGAACACCAGUGGCGAAGGCGGCUCACUGGUCCGGUACUGACGCUGAGGUGCGAAAGCGUGGGGAGCAAACAGGG